GCAUAGUGUUACUAUCAGCAAUACACCUUAACUUCAUUUUUUCAUUCAAUAUCUAGGUGGUAGAUGCUAGAUUCUGGAAAUAAAAUAUGAAUCUCAAGUGGUCCCUGUCUCCUCUCCCAUCCAAUUCUGAAUCUAGUUGGCAAAAUUCUGAAAGUAAUACAUAUAAUCAGUGAUAAAUAAUGAUAGAAG
rnacentral:ribozyme from 1 species